rnacentral:rRNA from 1 species
CACAUGCAAGUCAAGGGGAAAGGUUGUCUUCGGACGGCCGAGUAUACUGGCGAACGGGUGAGUAACGCGUAGGUAACUUGCCUAUCAGUCUGGGAUAAGACUGCUAACGCGGUGCUAAUACCGGGUAUACUGCAUAGAUCGCAUGUUUUUUGCAGGAAAGCGGGCCUCUGGAACAAGCUCGUGCUGAUAGAUAGACCUGCGUCCCAUUAGUUAGUUGGUAGGGUAACGGCCUACCAAGGCAGCGAUGGGUAGCCGGCCUGAGAGGGUGACCGGCCACACUGGGACUGAGAUACGGCCCAGACUCCUACGGGAGGCAGCAGUGAGGAAUAUUGCGCAAUGGACGAAAGUCUGACGCAGCAACGCCGCGUGAGGGAUGAAGCUUUUCGGAGUGUAAACCUCUGUUAGGAGGGAAGAACGUCUAUUAUUCGAACAGGGUGAUAGAGUGACGGUACCUCCAGAGAUAGCCCCUGGCUAGCUCCGUGCCAGCAGCCGCGGUAAUACGGGGGGGGCGA